rnacentral:rRNA from 1 species
UUCUGGAGGGCAAGUCUGGUGCCAGCAGCCGCGGUAAUUCCAGCUCCAAUAGCGUAUAUUAAAGUUGCUGCAGUUAAAAAGCUCGUAGUUGAAUUUCGGGACCGAUAUAUCGGUCGUGCCUCGGUACGUACUGGUAUUUUCGGUUUCUCCCUUCUGACGAACCUUGAUGUCAUUAAUUUGGUGUCAUGGGAAAUCAGGACUGUUACUUUGAAAAAAUUAGAGUGUUUAAAGCAAGCUCGCGCUUGAAUACAUUAGCAUGGAAUAAUGAAAUAGGACGUUUGAUUCUAUUUUGUUGGUUUCUAGGAUCGACGUAAUGAUUAAUAGGGAUAGUUGGGGGCAUUAGUAUUCAAUUGUCAGAGGUGAAAUUCUUGGAUUUAUUGAAGACUAACUACUGCGAAAGCAUUUGCCAAGGAUGUUUUCAUUAAUCAAGAACGAAAGUUAGGGGAUCGAAGACGAUCAGAUACCGUCGUAGUCUUAACCAUAAACUAUGCCGACUAGGGAUCGGAUGAU